ensembl:lncRNA
CCCCAGACCUGCACGAACUCAGCAUCCUUCCGUGGGGCCCCUGAUUUGCAUUGAAUGACUCCCCAGUGACUUCAUUUUUUGCUCUGCUCUUGAGAACCAGUGGACCAGAGAGAGGCCAGAGGCUGGCUUCUCUGGCCUGGCCCUCUCCUUGGGCCUCUGCCAGGCAAAGCAGGUGCUUUUCCCCUAGGCAGGGGACACAGCUCCCUGCGGGCUCAGCACCCAGAUGGGAGGAGAGGUGCCCCCAGGAACCUGAGGAGGUGGUCUAAUUUGGAUCUUGCAGCAGAAACACCUCCACUGGGUGGCUCGGCCACUCCUUUGAGUCUGGAGCUCUCAGGAGCACGGCACCAGAGAGCCCAGAACGGUGCCUCCAGGGGAACACAGGAAGUGACGCAAUGACUGCCUUUUAGGAAGAUCAUAAUUGAGUGUCAGUGAAGCAAUUUGGUAGUAAGUGCUGAGCAAUGCCACACCCACCUGACUGCCCACGGUGAGAUUUUUGUCAGCAAAGUUGCUUUUUGGAACCCUGCUCCCUAGGCCUCUUGGAUUCUGGAGUUUUCACAGCCUUCAUGAGAGUCACUGCAACUCUGUUCUUCGGAGCUUUUCCUCGUGGCCACGGCUCCUUCUCCCGCUGCGAGCUGGGGCCAGGCGGGCGCAUCUGCGCUGACCUCACCGCUUAGGAAGGGGGUGGGGCAGCUCUCCAGGGUGCUGACUCAGGGCGGCAGCGCGGCGCCCUCACGCGAGGUUGCAGCGGCCGGAGCUCAGCCCUUCUGUCCUGCUUUAGCGGGUAGAAGCCCUCCCUGGAAGGAGGACCGGCCCCUGGUUCUUUCCAAAGCUGUCAGCACAGAAUAAUUCACCUUUCACCGCUUCGUGCUGUAAACAGCUCCCCAUCAGACCGGGAAAGUUGCUGAGGUCUGGACAGUCUGGCCACUUCCAGGGACAACUGUUCUGCCAGUUCCCAGAAGGCAGCAGAAGCGAUUUAGCUAUAUUUGGAUUAAAAGGAUGGUUCAGCCUUGGAAGAUGCCGGGGCAGGAAGAACAGUGCCUCCAUUCAGCUGUGGAGACGGCAGCCUGGCUGGUCAGCUUUCUUUCUCUUUCCCAAGGCACCAGCAGUUCCCACAAGCUGAUUCAUCUCCAGGGAGGAGAGGGAAGAGGCCGCUCGCUGUAACCAGGUGCGACCCCAGGCCGCUCGCCGUGACCAGGUGCGACCCCAGGCCGCUCGCCGUGACCAGGUGUGACUCGUGCAGCCUCUGCUGUCGUCCCCUGGGCUGGCCAGGCUUCCCGGAGCAGCCGCUGCCCUGCCAGCCACUCGAGGCCUGUGAGACCCGUCCUGGGCGCAGCGCUGGCCGCCAGGAAAACGCCGGCGAGAGCCAGCUCCCGGGCUCCCUGUGCUUAGAGACAUUGCUCCAAACUGGGCUCUGCUGCCUUUGAUCUGCUGCUGACCCUCGUGGCCCUGCUGUGCCCCGCACACCUUCAGUCCCGGCUGAGGGCACCAAGCUUCCUCUCUCUCCUGUGGAAACAGAACCUGGGAACAUGCCCAGCCUGAUGUGUACGGUACAUGAUGAUAGGUGACCCCCCACUGCAGGCCAAUGCUGCUGACGGCGCUCUUGGGAACCCGUCUGUCUCCCUGG